rnacentral:rRNA from 1 species
GAUAGCGCACAAGUAGAGUGAUCGAAAGAUGAAAAGCACUUUGGAAAGAGAGUCAAAUAGCACGUGAAAUUGUUAAAAGGGAAGCGCUUGCAGCCAGACUUGCCCGUAGUUGCUCAUCCAGGCUUUUGCCUGGUGCAUUCUUCUAUGGGCAGGCCAGCAUCAGUUUGGGCGGUUGGAUAAAGGUCUCUGUCAUGUACCUCCUUUCGGGGAGGCCUUAUAGGGGAGACGACAUGCAACCAGCCUGGACUGAGGUCCGCGCAUUCGCUAGGAUGCUGGCGUAAUGGCUGUAAGCGGCCCGUCUUGAAACACGGACCAAGGAGUCUAACAUCUAUGCGAGUGUUUGGGUGUCAAGCCCGAACGCGCAAUGAAAGUGAACGGAGGUGGGAACCCUUAAGGGUGCACCAUCGACCGAUCCUGAUGUCUUCGGAAGGAUUUGAGUAAGAGCAUAGCUGUUGGGACCCGAAAGAUGGUGAACUAUGCUUGAAUAGGGUGAAGCCAGAGGAAACUCUGGUGGAGGCUCGCAGCGGUUCUGACGUGCAAAUCGAUCGU